GGAAUUUCUCUUGAGUCUUCGUGACCUGACCGUUAUACUGUACUGAUAAGCAUGUUGUGUUAGACCAAGGUAAUGUUCCCUUAAAAGGACAUAAAAUAAAAAAACUAGCUGUCCUUGUGCAACUGAGGAAGGGCCACCUGCCUGAUCUGCUUUCCUAUCACCCCAUCCCCGCCCUUCUUGCGGUUUUUGUGCUUAAAUUCAGAGCGCUUAGUCUGUGAGGCGCGCAUUCUCGGGAUCGAUUCCAAGAGUCUGCGUCAGCCAGGCCUGAAAUAAACGCCUUUGCCUCCCAAAUUUGGAGUCUCCGAGUCUUGGCUUCCCACGGGGGUUAUGAGACCACCACAAUCCACACCUUUUAAAACCCUGAAAUGAAAGAAUGAACUCAGAGAUCCUCUAGUUUAUCAGAGAGGAAAGUUAGGUUCACUUCAGCUGCAAAUGAGGAAAACCAUCAGAAAAGCGAUGAUUUAAAUGAUACAGAAAACAUUUUCUUCCUCAUGCAAAAACACGGAACAGAUUUAAUGGAGGGAAGAGAAGACAAAAACAAGUGGGAAGAAGAGAGAAUGGUGGAAGUAGAAUAAGUGAACUGAAUAAGAGGGAAGCGAAACUGUCAGCUUGUCUUCAGCAUUAUAUAAAGUGCUCUGGCAAUUCUUUUCUGGGAUUCUCAAUAAUAUAAGAAAAUAAUGAGCCAAGGGAAUCAACAAAAUUUGGAAGAAACAGGUAAAUUGAGGAAAAUUAAGCAUAUUUU
rnacentral:lncRNA from 1 species